rnacentral:rRNA from 1 species
CGGCGACCGGCGCACGGGUGAGUAACGCGUAUCCAACCUUCCGUACACUCAGGGAUAGCCUUUCGAAAGAAAGAUUAAUACCUGAUGGUAUGAUGAGAUUGCAUGAUAGCAUCAUUAAAGAUUUAUCGGUGUACGAUGGGGAUGCGUUCCAUUAGGUAGUAGGCGGGGUAACGACCCACCUAGCCAACGAUGGAUAGGGGUUCUGAGAGGAAGGUCCCCCACAUUGGAACUGAGACACGGUCCAAACUCCUACGGGAGGCAGCAGUGAGGAAUAUUGGUCAAUGGACGAGAGUCUGAACCAGCCAAGUAGCGUGAAGGAUGAAGGUCCUACGGAUUGUAAACUUCUUUUAUAAGGGAAUAAACCCUCCCACGUGUGGGAGCUUGUAUGUACCUUAUGAAUAAGCAUCGGCUAACUCCGUGCCAGCAGCCGCGGUAAUACGGAGGAUGCGAGCGUUAUCCGGAUUUAUUGGGUUUAAAGGGAGCGCAGACGGGUCGUUAAGUCAGCUGUGAAAGUUUGGGGCUCAACCUUAAAAUUGCAGUUGAUACUGGCGUCCUUGAGUGCGGUUGAGGUGUGCGGAAUUCGUGGUGUAGCGGUGAAAUGCUUAGAUAUCACGAAGAACUCCGAUUGCGAAGGCAGC